CGGAAGGCAGCAGCGAUGACGAGGUUCUGGCGGUG
rnacentral:SRP_RNA from 1 species